AUUGCAUUCAGAAGAUAUUAAUGAAUAUGGAAUCAUGGAAAUGUCCACCUACAAUAUAUGUUUGUAAGUGAAGCACAGAUGUUUAUAAUGUGCUUUUAUUUUUUUCACUGAUAGUGUAAUAUGUUUUUAAUACAACGAAUUUCAACAGUAUAUUUAACAUAUAUUUAAUUGUGCUAAUGAUGCAUAGGCUAUAUGAAAAAAUCACAAAGUAUUAGAAAUUUAUUUUCUAAGAAAAUUUUUAUAAAAUUAGUCUUGAGUUCCACUUUCCUACUUUGAGAUGGUUUACAUUUUCAUAAUGCAAACCUUCAGACAUAUUUAUGAGAAUUUUAAAGAAAAAGGUACUAUAUUAAUUUUCUAAAAAUAACUCUUUUUAGUUUGUGUAUAAAAGUGUAUUAUAUUGGUUUCCUGUUAACUGAAAACUGUUGACAAGUUUAGCAUG
rnacentral:lncRNA from 1 species